AAGGGAGUUUACAGAUACAGUCUGCGCAUGCGCGAGUCUCCGGUAUCCACUUCCGGGGUCAGGUCAACUGUACAUAAAUGCGGCGUCCGUACAGUCAACCCGUGAGUCAACCAACGAACGGCAUAAAUACCAUUUUUUAGCAGUCAAAAAUCUAGCAGUAUAUUUCUUUUUAUCGGUCUGUUCCUUGUCAUUUGCCAUGUUGAAUAAUGUGACGAGAUGUUUUCAGGACAUUGAUUGACGUUUUCCUACCAGAAAGUUGCAAAAACGGACUGUGUACUUGUGUUGUAAAACGCAGUUGAUCAGCUCUGCCUACAUGAUAUUACACGUAUGGGACAGUAGGUCUACGACCAACCGGUACACGGCAAACGAACUUGCCCCAACUGGCCCUACAAAUGGGUUCCGAUUAGACCGUCUAAAUCAUAUCGCGAACUCUAGAUCUACAGACUACACCAUGGGAAGAAUCUGUGCCUUCAUCGGCUGCUCGAACAGCGAAAAACUCUCGCGUUGGUAUGAUCAAACAUGUCAGUGUCAUGGGAAGAAGAAUGGGAGUUGCAUUUGCCUACCACCAUUUCAACUUUUUCCUUUCCCUUUUCAGCUAAAAAAUCCAUGUGUUGUUGCAUUACAAGUAACAAACACUCUUGUUCAAUAUUCACCUUUGUUUUUCUUAUAAAGGGAGUAUAUCGUCCCUUUAUUCAUGACUUGUAUUUUAUGAGAACCAUUAUUACAUAUCGCAAUCAGUUCUAUUUAUUAGACAGAAUGUUUUGCAUUUUCAAGCAUUAAAUCUAUUUCCAUGCAUGCAUAAAUCACAGUCAAUUAUUUCUUAAGGGAUGUCUUAAAAUUUCAGUUUUAUUAGCCCAUGUUUAUAUAACAAUUUCUUAAAAAGGAAAAUUCCAUAUUUUUGAGUGCUAAAUUCAUCUUAACAGAUUUAGCAUGUAUCCAAAGCUCGAUAUUCCCUCUUUACAUCAUCAUUUUUUUUUCUAAAUUGUAUCUUACCCACAUUUUUCCCCAAGUGUUGAUUUUAUCAUUAUUUUUUUCAUGUAUGCCUGAGUCCUCAGUUAUACUUGAAAUUUGUUUUUUGUGGAUCAGAAAGCUGGUAUGAUAUGGCAGAUUGGCAAUAAAAUGUUACAUGAAAUGCAA